rnacentral:rRNA from 1 species
UACGGGGGGGGGCAAGCGUUGUUCGGAAUUACUGGGCGUAAAGGGCUCGUAGGCGGCCAACUAAGUCCGACGUGAAAUCCCAAGGCUUAACCUUGGAACUGCGUCGGAUACUGGAUGGCUUGAAUUCGGGAGAGGGAUGCAGAAUUCCACGUGUAGCAGUGAAAUGCGUAGAGAUGUGGAGGAAUACCGAUGGCGAAGGCAGCCUCCUGGGCCAACACUGACGCUCAUGCACGAAAAGCGUGGGGGAGCAAACAGG